GAGAAGUCCCCUUCCAGGACUCCUGAAGGAAGUAAUAGGAGUAGGUUGCAGGAAAGGUCAAUUAAAGGAAGUAGAUUACAUCCAACUGGUGCUCAGAGAUUUUUCUCCCUGUGGUGUUUUGGGAGUUACAAUAAAAUCUUGUUACCUACCUUCUGGCUCAUUUUUCUUUCACAGCCUUGCUUUCCUGGGAGUGUUCUUUGCCAGAGAGAAUUACAAAGAAGAGGAAAGACUAAACCCUGGCCUCUUGUCAUUAGAGCCCCAGGUCGGCCUUCUCAAGCCUCAGCCCUUCCCAGGAUGGGGAAGACAAGACCAAGUUUCAGGUGGGUGGAGUUUUUCUCCAGAAGUAACAGUUUAAGACAUCAGAGAGUCAACGUACCUCCCUCCCUUGGAAAAAGAAAAAAAAUUGAUUGGGCAAGCUCCUCACAUAACUCUGUGCAUUUAUCUCCCAGUAGCGACGAGAGAGGUCGGAUGAUCCUGUCUGAGAGAUGAAGAAAUGCAUGUAAAUCCUAGGUUUGAACCCAG
rnacentral:lncRNA from 1 species